rnacentral:tRNA from 1 species
GUGGGUGUAGUGUAGCGGUAACACGUCAGUCUCCAAAACUGAAAUCUCUGGUUCGAUCCCAGACACCUAUGCCA